CAGAGAGUCACUCAGGGCGGCACGAAGCGUCGCUGCUGCUCGCUGACGGACCGACGACCUUUCAACGCUGGAACACCGCGGCUACGCAACGAAACAUGCGUAAACACUGCAUCAGCCGGGAGGCGGCAGAGGCAGGACUGCCAAGAUGGGAACGACCAGAGCCACCGCACUGAGACGAACCCUCACAACGGCUCUUCAUAAACCUGGGCGUGAUUUUAUGCCGUCUAUGGUUUCAGGGUAGAAGAAGAAUAAAGAU